AUCUGGAGCGGCGGGGUGGGGGCGUGCGGCGACACGUGAUCAAUCUUAACCGAAACAACUGCGGAUACUGUAAAUCAGGAACAAAAACAGAAGUUACUGGAACAGCUCAACAGCUCUGGCCGCAUCUGUGAAAAAAAAAUCAGAGUUAACGUUUCGUGUCCGGUGACCCUUCCUCAGAACAGCAACGUUCCGGCCGGUGUUUGCACGUAGGCGCAGCGUCAUUCUGACCGCCGUAAGCUGGUGAUUGCCGGUUUUGUCGGAGCUGAAUUGGAUGCAAUGAUUGACUGUGACCUCACCAGAUCUUUAUCAAGGUUCAGCAUCUUUUCCAGAGACCACGUCCUUCAACAGUUCCAAAAGCUGAAUAUCUGGCAGAGGGAUACCACCGGAGACAUUCUUACUUAUCCGAACAGUCACACAUCUCUCCUAACAGUGCUGGGUCGUACAGCCGAACACAUGUCGAACUCUGAUGAAACUGCAGGUUCCAUUAAUGAAGCCCAAGAUCCCAUACAGUCUCCUCAAUGCAUUUUAGUUAUGUUCUCUCUUCGAUAAAGAUUUGUACAUAGUAACUCCCUGCUCCGUGCUCUUUGCGUCUGUGCCAUUCAAAUAUAUAUUCCCUUUCCACGUUGUUUCCCUCAAGAUGCAUAAACUCACUGUGUGUUCUAAAGAAGAGAUGUUUAUUCAAAAUAUUAACUGUGGCUCCACUAUUCCUGCCACUUGGAAAACAGGACAGUACAGCAUCGGAAGAAGCCCUUUGGCCCACCACAUCUGUUCUAAUAUUGAUGCCACUCUGAAGUGAUACAAUCUGGCUGUACAUGAUCUAUAUCCCUCUCUUCCCUGCCUGUUCAUAUGUCUGCCCAAGUGCCUCUUAAAUGUCGUGAUUGAUCGUUUCUGCUUCUAUCACCUCCCAAGAGAGUACAUUGUGGCCGCCUAUCACUUCCUGUAUAAGAAACGUGCCUCAUACAACUCUUUUUUUUUAAACUUUCCCCCUCUAACCUUAAUCCAUUUGCCCCUAGAAUUUGUCAUUUUCACCUGAGGAAAAGGGCUGAGUGUCCACUGUCUCCCUUUCAGGUCGCCCCUCAGCCCCUCGCUCUGUGUGGUGAUAACAAUCCAAGUUUGUCCAAGCCAGGCAAAAUCCUGGUAAACCUCUUCUGCAACCUUUCCGAAGCCUCCACGCCCUUUCUGUAAUGUAGUGAUUGAAACUGCACACAUCACUCCAAAGGUGGCCGAAUUACAACUUUCUAUUCAGCCCCCUGACAGAAGAAAGCCAGCAUGCCAUUGUCCUCCUUUACCACUUUAUGCAUAGGUGUUGCCACUAUCAGAGACCUAUGGACUUGGACCUGCAGAUCCAUCUGUAUAUCAGUGCUACUCAGGGUUCUUCCAUUUAUUGUUUACGCUCCCCUUGCAAUUGGCCUCCCAGGAUGCAUCACCUCACAGUUACGUGUGCGUGUGUGUAUGGUCUCAGGUCUGAUCCUUGUGGGACAGUGCUAGCCCUGACCUCCAGUCAGAAAAACACACUCCACAACUGUUGACGGGUGAAAUAUCAAACAGGAGUCUUGUGUUCUGUGUUCAGCAGCGCGGGCAACCUUUAUGCGGAGCUCCUUAGCAAUUCAUUGUGGGAGAUUUUCUGGUGCUGUCUCACUCCACCCAACCAAGUGUAACAUUUUUAUGCAUUUCACAUUACAGCAAUGACACGCAAUGUUAUAAUGUAAUUGUUAGCCAUAUUUGCCUAAGCGAUCCAUCCAGUCCAGUAAACGCAUGGUUAAUGGCUCUACAGAA